GGGCGCGUAGCUCAGCGGUAGAGCAUCUGACUUUUAAUCAGAGGGUCGCGGGUUCGAUCCCCGCCGCGCUCACCA
rnacentral:tRNA from 3 species